rnacentral:tRNA from 1 species
UCCCCGGUCGUCUAAUGGUAGGACAGCGGCCUUUGGAGCCGUGAACCGUAGUUCGAGUCUACGCCGGGGAGCCA